CAGCUUGCCUUCAUUCUCACCUGGGUCAUCUCGUUCCAUGUUCUCUCGGUCCUUGUGGCCAUUCUUGUGGCCCAGAGUUUUGUCUCCCCGUUGUGUCCCCUCGUCUGUUGUCUUGUGUGUCACGGGUGUCUGGGUGUAGCUGUCCCGGAGCUGCUCUGCCCUGCUGCCCAGCCUGGGUGUAGGUGUAAAAGGCCAAGUUCCAGGCCCCUGUAAUUUGAAAUUUGUGGUGUAGGGUGUAGUUUGAGUCUAGAGGGCAUUCCUAGAUGGACACAAGAUGUCUGGAGCUGUGAAGUUACCCUGCAGCACUUUGACUUUUGUCUUAGCUUUCUUUCAGAUGCGGAUGGAUUAAAUCGGUGGCAGAGCGCCCCAUGCAGGGUAAGGGGGUUCCCCCGAGAAGGUAAGUCAAUGUUUGUCUUGGCAGGGCAACUGGAACCGGUCACUGUGUUACUGGUCUCCUCUUUGUCUUUAUUUUUAGGAAAUAGAGCCAGCUAGCAGCAGUCAAGGCGAAGUGGGCAAGGCAGUCCAGUCACGUUUCAUCGAGACCCCGUCGCCGACCAGCCAGCACGCCUGCUUCGCCUCUGCCAUGAGCCCUGCGGAAGCGUUAUGGGACCGUGUGACGGAGCCUUUUCCACGUAAAGGGGCCAUGUGGGUGGUCUUCAGGAAUGGGCCGAGGGCUGGCCGCGUGCCCUGCGACAACGGCGUCCGGCUCCCGGCAUGGUCGAAGCGCGUGGCCUCAGGACGCGGUCAUUCGCAGGAGACC